rnacentral:rRNA from 1 species
CAGCAGCCGCGGUAAUCCGGAGGAUCCGAGCGUUAUCCGGAUUUAUUGGGUUUAAAGGGAGCGUAGGUGGACUGGUAAGUCAGUUGUGAAAGUUUGCGGCUCAACCGUAAAAUUGCAGUUGAUACUGGAUAUCUUGAGUGCAGUUGAGGCAGGCGGAAUUCGUGGUGUAGCGGUGAAAUGCUUAGAUAUCACGAAGAACUCCGAUUGCGAAGGCAGCUUACUGGAUUGUAACUGACGCUGAUGCUCGAAAGUGUGGGUAUCAAACAGGAUUAGAUACCCUGGUAGUCCACACAGUAAACGAUGAAUACUCGCUGUUGCGAUAUACAGCAAGCGGCCAAGCGAAAGCGUUAAGUAUUCCACCUGGGGAGU